UAAAUUUAGCGGAAAAAUUUUCCCGCUAAAUCUGGCGGAAAAUAUUUCCCCGCUAGAUUUAGCGGGGAAAAUUUUCCGCUAAAUUUA
rnacentral:pre_miRNA from 1 species